AUGGACCUUAAUAUGACAAAUCUUUGGCUUCAUGGGAAGGAACAUAUAGCCGCUUCAUUCUCUCAAGCUGAACAGAGCUCAGAAGCAGUCGAGACUUCUAGAAAAUCAUUUGGGCAGAGGAGUCGAAGUUCCCCUGUUCCUGAUGAUGACUGCAGGCUGGUCCUAGGACUUGGACCAAUGCCAAAUCUGUAUUCCGCUGAUAGCCAAUCAUCCGGUGGCAACAAAGUUAAAUUAUCUGGAAUUUUGUUCACCCAACAUUGUACUGCAAGUGAUCCUGGGUUACUGGUGGGGACUUCAAGAGGCAGCUCAAGAAAUUUGCAGUCCACAACACUGCCUGGCCGCAAGGAGCAUUCACACAAAAGAAAAAAUGGUGUUGUCUUCCCACAUAUUGGCGAGGGAUCAACUUCAGCCAAAAGGAAGUCAGGUGAUUAUCAGCUAUCACCUCUGUUUGCUCCAAGAUCAGAUGUUCUUUUUAUUGAUAGAACAAUGGCAGAGCCUGAUGUCCAGCAACACCUUGGAACCGGAUAUGAGGCCGAUCAUGAUUUAUCUCUUGAUCAGCACGGGGUUGAGCACAGCCCCGAGCCUUCUGCAACAACUGGCUGUUCUUUUGCUGCAACUUCAGAUACAAUAGAUAGCACUGAUAAUGGGGAGCAGAAAAGUCAUCAGCGCCAUCUCAAGAAGUGUCGGUUCAAUGGGUGUUCCAAGGGCGGAAGGGGUGCAUCAGGACUCUGCAUUUCCCAUGGCGGCGGUCACCGGUGCCAAAAGCCAGGUUGCAAUAAAGGGGCCGAGAGCCGAACGGCGUACUGCAAAUCGCACGGAGGAGGAAAGCGGUGCCAAGAGCUAGGCUGCACCAAAAGCGCCGAAGGGAAGACAGAGUUCUGCAUCGCUCAUGGCGGUGGGCACCGGUGCGGGGUUCCGGAGUGCUCCAAAGCAGCCCGGGGAAGAUCGGGACUUUGCAUAAAACACGGCGGAGGGAAGAGGUGCAUGACGGAGGGCUGCACCAGGAGCGCCGAAGGGUAUCCUGGGGUGUGCAUCGCGCACGGAGGUGGUCGCCGGUGCCAGUACCCGGACUGCAGCAAGGGAGCACAGGGAGGCACCCUGUUCUGCAAGUCCCAUGGUGGGGGCAAACGGUGCGUAUCUGAAGGUUGCACCAAAGGGGCCGAGGGCAGCACGUUGCUAUGCAAAGGGCAUGGCGGCGGAAAGAGGUGCCUCUUCGAGGGAGACGCGGCGUGUCCUAAGAGUGUUCACGGCGGGACCAGCUUCUGCGUGGUGCAUGGAGGAGGCAAAAGGUGUGUGGCACCAGGGUGCACCAAGAGCGCUCGCGGUCGCACUGACUGCUGCGUGAGGCAUGGCGGUGGCAAGCGCUGCAAAUCAGAUGGGUGCGACAAGAGCGCGCAGGGGAGCACGGACUUGUGCAAGGCGCACGGCGGGGGCAAGCGGUGCGCCUGGAGCGCCGGCUGUGACAAGUUUGCCAGGGGGAGGAGCGGCCUGUGCUCUGCUCAUGGAAACCUGACGGCCUCGAAGCAGACCGGAAGCAUGAUCGGGCAUGGCCUCUUCAGCGGGAUCGUCUCUUCUUCCUCGACGCCGGGCAGCGGCAUGGACCGAGUGAUCUCCUCUUCUCUCCCUGGCGCCUCGUCAGAUUGCUGCGGCGAGUCGUUGGAACUCAUGCAGAGUGGCAGGCUCAUACCGCCACAGCUGCUGGUUCCUGGCUCCCUGCAGAAACCAUCGUCUUCGUUUAACCUGCCGGGCAAUGGCCAAGAAGGAGGUGGUGGUAGCCGGGACCAGAGCUUCGGGUUCGUCGUGCCGGAGGGAAGGGUGCACGGCGGAGGGCUCAUGUCGAUGCUCCGAGCAGGACACCUGGGAAGCAACAUCAACAUCCCGGAAUCCUGA
rnacentral:rRNA from 1 species